CGCUAUCACUCCUACGGGAGGCAGCAGUAGGGAAUAUUGGUCAAUGGCGAAAGCCUGAACCAGCCAUGCCGCGUGUCAGAUGAAGGUCCUCUGGAUUGUAAAUGACUUUUCUACGGGAAGAAUGAGCCGUCUGCGGACGGAAGUUGACGGUACCGUAGGAAUAAGCACCGGCUAACUACGUGCCAGCAGCCGCGGUAAUACGUAGGGUGCAAGCGUUGUCCGGAUUUACUGGGUUUAAAGGGUACGUAGGCGGUUGUGCCAAGUCUGGGGUGAAAGUUUGCAGCUCAACUGUAAAAUUGCCUUGGAUACUGGUCGGCUAGAGUAGUGGAGCGGUGGCUGGAAUUUAUAGUGUAGCGGUGAAAUGCUUAGAUACUAUGAGGAACACCAAUUGCGAAGGCAGGUCACUGGUCACUAACUGACGCUGAGGUACGAAAGUGUGGGGAUCAAACAGGAUUAGAUACCCUGGUAG
rnacentral:rRNA from 1 species